GCGCACAGCCGCCCGCCCACGGUGUCUGGGGCCUCCCGGCGCAGGGCGCCGCCUCCUCCCGCGUUCCCGGCCCGAGGGGGCUCGGAAGGGGCUUCCGCGAUGCCGCUCCUGCCGCCGCCAGCCCGGGGAGCAGCGGGGCCUUCGGGCCGGGUGCUGGGUGCUGGGUGCUGGGUGCUGGGUGCGCGGCCCUCCUCGGCCUCCACGGGCCGCAGCCGGGGCUAGUGUGAUGGUGCGAGUAGAUUCCCUUGGAGAAGAAGGGGACAUUGAGGCGGGGGCGGCUAGGAGGGGUCGGGGAUGAGGACGGUGACACCGAGGUACAAAUUCUACUCAGCAUCCACCUUUCCUGUCUUCCUUGUACCCAAGACACCUCAGCAAAAAAAAAAUAAAUUUAAAACUCCCAGC
rnacentral:lncRNA from 10 species